rfam:Drosophila mojavensis strain TSC#15081-1352.22 Ctg01_11128, whole genome shotgun sequence.
GUACUACUGUUUUUAGUGAGUGAGGGUCCAGUGUUUCACAUUGUUUGCUUAAGUAUUUGUGACUAGAUCCACACUCAUUAAAAACGGUAGUUC